ensembl:lncRNA
AUAUAAAAAUAUAACUAUAAAAUAAUGUUGCAGAAAACUGUUAAUAUAAUGAUUUAGCGCAGAGAGCAGUAAAAUAAACAUUUUAACCUUGAUAAACCUGAAAUAUUAAAUAAUUAUUUUAAUUUUUUUUUAAAGUGUGUCUUUAUUGAACUUCCUGACAUAUCUCAAAACUCAUACAUUAGGCGUUAUGGCUAAGUACGCUGCUACUGUUUGUGUCCAAGGUCACAGCUGCGCUUUAGAGCUCUGAAACUUUACACUACAGUAGAUCCAUUUAAAAAUUGGUUAUAUAGUCUUAAACAAGAUGUGAAAAUAGCUUUUGUUUGUCAGCAGAUGAAAGUGAAAUAAUUUGAUUGACUCAGCAGAUAUUCUUUGAGUGUUGUAGUAGCUGCAAUUCCAGGAGUGGGAAAGAGACUUUGCAGCAAAUUAAAAUGUAGUAGAUAUAAAGCCAGCUGUGUCAUUGCUUGAGUGGGUCCUCUCCAAGUCCUUUUGGUUUUGGUUUAAAAAUGUGACAUGAUAACAGCAAGCACAUGCUUUUAGUAUUGAGAUUCUGGGAUUCAUUUUAAAAAGAUCGUACAGGUAUAGGACAUGAUUCAUAAGACAUAUUUAAGAAUUUUUUAAAAAUAGCAAAAACCCAUUGUGUUAAAACACAUGGUACUAAAUUGCCAGACCACUGCCAGAGUAAGAAACAGCUUCUAUCUGACAGCUAUGACUGAACUGAACGCUGUCACCCUACUGUCCCCCAUGUGACAUUGCAGCUUUCGUAAUAAGAAGCUUUACAUUUACUUUUUAUAAUUCGCUUCACACUGGUCACAAGCAUUCUCUAUUCAUUCUGUGCGCUUUUUUCAGUUAUGUACCUUCUUUCUGUCAUGAAUUGCUGUGUGGCAGGCUGGAGACUGGACCCAAAUGCAGGACUCAUGGCAACAUUGGCAGCUUUAUCGAGGCUGUAAAAACUCUUAAUACCGAAAACAAAACUGAAAACGAUGAACUAGAAAUACCAACUUAAAUCUAAACAUUAAGACACUGGGAAACAGCACUGGGAACUACAAGGAGCACACAAGAAAAAAAACACAGCGUCCUGGGCGGACGACGAGACAACAAGCAGGGAAUGACAGAGGACUAAAAUACACAGCGGGGUAAUCAGUAAACGGUACACGGAAGGGAAACACAGUUGGGACUAAUUGGGCAGGAUGAGACCAGGGAGCAAAAGAGUAUACACUGACAUACAGUGGGGCAAAAAAGUAUUUAGUCAGCCACCGAUUGUGCAAGUUCCCCCACCUAAAAUGAUGACAGAGGUCAGUAAUUUGCACCAGAGGUACACUUCAACUGUGAGAGACAGAAUGUGAAAAAAAAAUCCAUGAAUCCACAUGGUAGGAUUUGUAAAGAAUUUAUUCGUAAAUCAGGGUGGAAAAUAAGUAUUUGGUCAAUAACAAAAAUACAACUCAAUACUUUGUAACAUAACCUUUGUUGGCAAUAACAGAGGUCAAACGUUUACUAUAGGUCUUUACCAGGUUUGCACACACAGUAGCUGGUAUUUUGGCCCAUUCCUCCAUGCAGAUCUUCUCGAGAGCAGUGAUGUUUUGGGGCUGUCGCCGAGCAACACGGACUUUCAACUCCUGCCACAGAGUUUCUAUGGGGUUGAGGUCUGGAGACUGGCUAGGCCACUCCAGGACUUUCAAAUGCUUCUUACGGAGCCACUCCUUUGUUGCCCGGGCGGUGUGUUUUGGAUCAUUGCCAUGUUGGAAGACCCAGCCUCGUUUCAUAUUCAAAGUUCUCACUGAUGGAAGGAGGUUUUGGCUCAAAAUCUCACGAUACAUGGCCCCAUUCAUUCUGUCCUUAACACGGAUCAGUCGUCCUGUCCCCUUGGCAGAAAAACAGCCCCAUAGCAUGAUGUUUCCACCCCCAUGCUUCACAGUAGUAAUCCUUCAGACGUCUGUUUCCACACUGCCAUAAACUGCCUUGUUCAGUCACUGCUGCUCGCAGUUUCACCACUUUGCUCACCUGCCUACCUACCUGCCCUGUUCACUGACAACCACGGAUCUGUGUACUGGACUUCCUUCACUCCUCACCCGGAGCACCUACCCCUCUAUGCUUCGCCCGCACCUGCCAAAACGACUCUGAGAAUCCUGCUUUGUAAUUACCCUUUGCCCCGAACUACGGAGUUCCUGCACUGGAUGUUACCCAAUGUCGGGGUCCCAGGCUUCUGUCCUCACCAACCAAAGAGCUCAUUCAAAGGACUCUCUUACAGUUCACUUAGUGACUGCCUAGCUCAUGAGUCACAGUUCAGCACUCUUGUGACUCUCAUAGUGCUGUUCAAGUGCAUCAUAACUAUUAUUCUAGUAGAAUAGAAUUACUUUGCGCUGCGGGUUCAUAGUUUGCUUUAUUGUCUCUCGCUCUUAGUUCAUGGCUAACUCGCUAAGUGCUUGUUGCAUUUGUUUUUGCUUUUUGUCACAUAUUGCUCUCUGUAAUAAAAGUCACACAUACA